AGCCGUCAUCUUUCCCCGUUUAAAUGAAACAGUAAGGGAGCUUAGUAUAUACCUGUGAAGUUUGGUGUUUGGAUGGCUGCUGUGAUUAUUGAAUUCAAUGGGGAAGGAACUGAAAUUUGCAAAUGUUGUUUCCUCAACAAAUGCAGAAAGAACCAAGUAUGAAAUGAAGAAACUUAGGCCAAGACUCACCUCUCGAUACUUGGCAGAUGGCAGCAGGAAUUAACUUCUCUUCAUCUCCCUUUCUGGUGGUUGGUGUAUGAGAGAAGGAAUGAAAUGUUAGGCUGGUGCUUUAAUAAGUGAGUUGUUGGCUGUAAAGUCAAAGGAUUGGAGAUGGUGGUUGGCUGAAUUUGAAGGGAGGAGCCGAUUAGUCUUCUCUCAUUUUUCUUCUUUUUAUUCUCACACGUUAUCUCCCGCAUGCUUGUUGGUAUGUAGCUGUAGUGUUUUGUGAUAGUGAUAGGUUUUGAUUGUAAGUAGGGAAUAGUGGUGAUGUAAAUAAUUCCCUACAGUCAUUGUGUAAAGUUGUAUCUGAAAAUCUAAUUUCUUUGUAUCAUCACAUAUCUAUAAAAUUGGUUCUAGGUUUUGCUGAAUAA